rnacentral:rRNA from 1 species
GAGAUUCAUCGUCAGCGAUCGCGGUGCUCGUACGGUUCGCGAUGCCCGCGGGACCUCGGUCUCGCGGCACACGUCCGUACGUGUUGAAUCGACCGCGCGUCGUCGGCGUGCACUUCUCCCCUAGUAGGACGUCGCGACCCGUUGGGUGUCGGUCUACGGCCCGGGUGGGCGCCUGUUCGGCGUGCGCUUCGCGGCGUUUCGCUGUUCAGACCCCCGGUGUUCCUCCCGACCGGCUGCCCGGCGGUACACGCACGGUAUCGAGUCGCAAACGUUGCGUCCGGCCCGACGCARGCGUCGACCAUUGCCCUCGGAUGUACGGAUCCAAUGCCGUCGCCGUGGGCGGUCCGCUGUUGGCUGCGGUGCCCUGGGACAGGCUCAAACUUUGAUGAUACCGGUCAGCGACGCUACUGCUUUGGGUACUCUCAGGACCCGUCUUGAAACACGGACCAAGGAGUCUAACAUGUGCGCGAGUCAUUGGGAAGUGAUAAACCUAAAGGCGAAAUGAAAGUGAAGGUCGGCCUCGCGCCGACCGAGGGAGGAUGGGCCGCGUCACGAUGCGGCCCCGCACUCCCGGGGCGUCUCGCUCUCAUUGCGAGAUGAGGCGCACCCAGAGCGUACACGU